GACAUCAGAUCAGGCUACACUACCCGCUGAAUUUAAGCAUAUUAAUA
rnacentral:rRNA from 1 species